UCGUUGAACGUUGCAAAACAGCUUUUAUCCAAAUGUGUUAACUAUGCAUAUUUACUAGGGAAAGAAUAAUGAAAUAAAGAAAACUGAUAAUAGUGAGAAUUUAAAACUUUCUCAAAGCGCAAAAAAAAAACAAAACAAUUUGAGAACAUAAGAAAUAGUAGGCAAUCAACAUCCGCUGCAUCUUUUGCACAAGCAUUCACACAUACACACACGCAUGCAUUUACCAUAAGUAGUAAUCCAUGUAUUUAUGGCGCAGCUAACCUUUGGCAGUAUAGCUAUGGGAAAGUAAACAUUAAAGAAAAGCGGUAGUGUCUACUAGGCCCCCGAACGCUUACUAACUUUAAUGUUGAAGCAAACUAUUAUCGGCAAUGCCUGUCAGCUCAUAAACCAGCAAAGCAGUUAACCUAAAAAUGUAUUUACAAACGACUCUCAAACAAUGAAACGCCACCCCACCAAUGAGAAGAGCACAAAUAAUGCACUUGUUUCACACAUUACUUAUACAAGAACAAAGGGUUAGCUGACCUGCCGUGACUACCUGUGCGUGCAGAGAAACAAUUACACACACGCUGACCAUCGGCACUCAUUGAACGACCGGCUGUUGAGACCUAUGAAUGUAGUGAUGCUCAUGUCGUAUUCACAACAACGACGCGAUUUUAUACAUGGAUGGGCAAAUGAAACCACAGCCACAAACAACUUGGAGUUUAAUGUGUAAAUAGCGGGUG